GUCUCUUUGAGGACAUUCGGUAAAAUUGGAACAAUAGAGAGAAGAUUAUUAUGGUCUCUACACAAAAAUGACAAGCACAAAUUAAAAAAAAAAAUUGAAUUUCU